ensembl:lncRNA
GUCACUUUGUGUGUCAGAGAGGACGUUCACCUCCAGCUUCACCAGUCUGUAGUUAAGCUUCCACACCUGAUCUGAAUAAUCAGCUGAUUACAGUCUGUAACUGCAGGGUGUUUUCAUAUGAGAGAGCUCAGUCAUCAAGCGAAAUGGACCUUCAGCAGAAGAAUGUGAGUUUGAAUCCACUGUUUGUUUUUGUUUUUUUUUAAAUCAAUUAUCUGUCAUUAAAUAUGAAAAUAACACAAAUGUAAAUGAUGGAACAGAGGCCUCGCCUGGAGCCAAUACAGGAGGAGUCAGAGCAGGAAGAUGACGUCAAAAGAAGCAAAACGGGAGAAAGAGAAGAGGAAGAUUUUCAGAUUCAAGCUGGUGUGGAGACAAAGGAGGUGAUGGCAGAGGAGACAGAAGAAGAAGACGAGGAUGAUAAGCUGAGGGUCCUGAGACCAAGCCGACGGUCUCGUUCCCUCAGCAGCCACUCGUUGAGUUUACCUCGAAGGAGAUCCGCCAACAAUCACCAGGACGAACUGGAGAGUUUCUCUGUGUCUGACUCACAUGACGAAGCUACCCCACCCAAACAGAUCUUCAAGUUCAGAUGGCAAAAACACACAACACGUAAACCGCUGGUGCGAAAGAAGGAAAACAGGAAAAGGCCAAAGAAGGAGUCUCUGGUUGCGAAGCCGUUCCCUGAGUGGCUGGUGGACCUGAUGUUCAACAUCGAAGAGGCAACGACUCAUCAGCUGGUGGUUGAGUAACAGCUUUGGAGGUCGAGUUGAAACACGAAAAUCUCAACGGUGAACACUGUAUUACAACAAAUUUAUCACGGCUGAUGGGCGGUAUUAAGGGUUAGCAUUUAAUGAGCAAGUUGCUGUUUCUUUUUUUUUUUGUUACCAGUGGAUAAUAAACAUUUAAACAUUAGAAAACACACAAUAAGGCUGCUUGCUGCAGUAUGAAAACAUUUAUUCUACAUUAUGUUUUUUUUUUCUUGUAUUUAGUUUUUGCAUCAUAUUCAAUAAUCAUCAGCUUCAGCCUGAACCUGUUUACCUUUUUCCCCAAGUCGGUGUUCUUGAUUCGAAGGCCAAAAUACUGUUUGAGAGGCCAAAGCUCCCUCCAAGCCGUCCCACACGUACACAAACACGCACACACACCCACACAUAGUGGGCAGUGGUAUAACAUGUAAAGAGUAAUGGGGGAGAGGUUGUGUUUCAGCUUGAUGGUUAACACUUUGAUCUUAUUUAAAUAAAUCACAAUCGAAUCAAUCUUCACUAAUUUAAAAAAAUAAAACAAAGACAUACUGGGUUGGCUCAAAGCAUCAGUUUUUGAUGAGCCCGGAAUGAGUCUCAGAAAAUCUUUGACCUUUUUAAAGGUACACUGUACAACUUUUUCACAGGCCAAAAUUAAGUUUGUAUGUGAGUUUUACAAGUACUUUAAAGGCAAAUAUGUUGAAAUGUGUAUUUGUUAAUGCUGGAGAAAAACACAGGUGUUCUGAGUUAUCUUUGGGUGAGAAGGACGGUCUGAAAAACAUAUGGCCACUAUUUAAGUAAUUGAAAUGCUUACAUUUGAAAAUUGCAUUAAAACCACAUGACCUGCAUCAACAGGUGUACUUACAUGAAGGUACACUAAUAAAGACAAGAUGUAGUAUUAAAAUUAGUAUUAAAAUGGUUGGCCACUGUGAGUACAGUAUAUUUUAUCACUGGAUUAUUACAGAAUAAGCAGUAUCUAAACACAAAAAAAGAGGGUUAGAAUUCCAACCUCAUAUAAUAUAAGUGGCAGUUUUAAUCACUUCUCUUUGUGUGUGGGUGUGCUAUGUUGAAUACGAAGUUACAUCAAAUGUAAGUAGAGAAGUACAAUAAUCUAAAAAUAAUUCUGGUAUUUAUUUUUUAAAGGCCUUAUAUGUAUGUUUUAGUUUGUAAAAGAAGUUUUACAAUCGGUCCAGUAGAUCACCUCAGCUUCAGUUUCUGACAACAUUAAAGAUUAACCUUUAUGUUGAAUAACAAUCCCUUACAUAAAUCCCUUAUGUAACCAGAAACACAAGUAUUGCUUUCUGAUUCUGGUAUACCGGACACAACGUAAACUUUUGGUAUGAAUCUUAUACAAACCUUGACUUGUUGAGUACUCUCUACCACUAAUCUUUUUCCAAUAUGUUCCUCACAGUCAUUCCAAGGUCAGGGAGUUCUUGUCAGUCUGUAACCAUAAUUUCCCACAUUUAAACCUAAAACUUUUUCUAAACAAUAACACAUAUACACACAGCCUACAUGCUCACCAUUUCAGUGUUUUUCAUUGUGCUGAAAUGCCUUCUCACCACCACCAGUGUCCAGGGCCUUGACUGAGCAUGAAUGAAGGGUUAAGUCAGCUACAUAAACAUGUUGGAGUUUUCAGACGACCUGAGUGGGAAGUGAAGACAUUUUAUUUUCUGGUGAUCCAUUUUCUAAGUUUUGUAAUUGUUUUACUCUUCUGUGUUUAUGAUUUGACAGCUGGUGGGGGAAAAAAAAGUUUUGCUAAUUUCUUUAAUUAGAAGAAAAGAAUGAAAAUAAAACAAUCAGGAUUUUUGAGAAAGAAUAUUGAAACGGAGGGAUUUUUUUCAGGAGAAAGAAAAAUAAAAACAAAUUUAAAAUUCCAGAAAAAAGAAAUUCUUUCAGACACGGAAAAAAAUAAAAAAAAUUUUUCCUAAAGAUGACGUUUCAAUUUCACAUCUACAUUUCUUUUAUCUCCCAGAAAAAAAAUGUAGUUACACAAAUCAAAAAACAUUUCUCCUGAUUUUUUUUCACUGUUUCACACAUUAGAGAAAAAAGGUAUUUUUUUCUCUUGAAAAAGUUUAUUUUUACAUUUUUCAUGCGUUUUCACAAAUGGGGAAAAACAUGAAGAAACUGAGAAAUGUUAUGCUGGAAAAACUAUUUUCCCAUCAAAUCAUGAACGCAGAAGAGAAAAAAAUGUUGCUCAAGACGAAAAGAAAAUCACGAUUACUUAAUUGGCUGAAGGAUAAUAUCAGAAGCGGUUUGCAUUUGUUGACAUUCCAGCACAAUACAUUCCAAAUUAGCGCUUACACAUCAGUCCGGCGCAAACUUCAAAAUGAGAGCUUUGGGUCAUAUAGAGCACACAGCGGAGUGUGAUGCUGCUGUUUAUAUCACACACAGCAAAGUGGAGGUGAUCUGACAUCUGCCAUACAUAUCGUUAUGACAAAUACUACACCGAAGAAACAACCGGUUACUACAGUCUCUCUUCAGACAAACAUGUUGUGAUUCUAGCAGAGCGAUCCAUAAUGUUAGGGUUAUGCAACGCAAAAGGGGAAUGAUCCUGUUUAUCUGUCUGCCUGAUAAGAGGAACCUUCACCAAGGAGACUAAAAGGGACAAACAGGGUUUGAGUGUGAAAACAGUGUCAGAGCAAAAAAUAAAUAAAUCUGUCAGCAUUACUUCACAAACGUCAACAACAAUCACGGAUGGGAGUUUUUGGCAUCACCACUCAUUAUCUUAUAGCCUAUAACUCCUUGGACUAUGGAGCAUUCCUCAUUGUGGAUGUUAUUCGUUACUACUUCAUUGAUACGUUUCCUCAAAAAGCAGUUUACGUCUGAUUGUUGUCAUGACCUCAAAGCCGCAGAUGAGCAAUAAUGGCCGUUUGGAAAAACAGGGUUGUUUUGAUGUACAAUCACUUUAUGUUCCAGAGUCAAUAUUGACAACAGACCUUGUGAGCGUGGAUCCACGCACGUCAAGCAGGGUC